rnacentral:lncRNA from 1 species
GGUACGUAUAUAUAUAUAUAUAUAUUAUUAUUUUUUUAAAAAACUUCGGGUUGAGUUUGAGUCACGGGUGGGUUAUAAUGAUGGGUGAGUGGGUUAAGUUUUUGGGGUUAGCAUCAUCGGCAUGGGGGUUGAGAAAUGGGACCAGAGGCUUGGCUUAAAAGCAAGAGUAGUCAAAGAAAAAGCUGCGCCAGUUGUUUAUUAAUUAUUAUAUUAUUUGUAUAUUUUGGCAUCCCCCCAUACUUUUGAGUGCGGCCGGCCACUAUACUACCUUAAAAGUUACUGUCUUGUUCUUUUUUAUUACUGCUGAUGUCGUACACUUAUAUAUCUUUUACUAUAGUUUUCACCGGCCCAACAACCAAUUAGUUUGUGAGUCCAAAUCAGUAAUUAAGGGCAGUAAUUGAUCUAGCUAGGAUUGCAUCACAGAAUUG